rnacentral:misc_RNA from 1 species
CUGACAAUGAAGAAUGUACUGAAGAUCCAUUAAUGGCAUCUACCAGCAAGUCCAUAACAACUUCCUCUACAAAACUACCUGAAACGAUGCUUGCAGGAUCGUAGAUCUUCGUGCUUAUAUAGUUUGAUCGUCCUCUAGAUCGAGCUACUACUCCGAGCUCAAAUGCACAAGAAAGGACGAACGUCCCAUUUCGUUCCCUCACGGUGAUCUGCAGUUAAUGAGCUGAUAAUAUGCGUAAACGAAUGCUCCGAAGUCGUCCGGUUCAGUGCGUGGCCUAAUCUAACGAACAUGCGAUUGCAGCAACGGUAACCACUUAGGAUUCGUCAAAUCCAUUGAUUAUAUUAAACGUAUAAAAACAUUGCACAGGCGAUAUUAUUUAAGGCAUUUGUUAUUCUUUCCUCCUAUGAGAAUAACAACUAAGCGUUUUUUCUUAUUUUCUGAAAAGACUAUUAUACUCUAACUGACGAACUUAAUUAUUCACAAGCAUGGGUAUGUUGAUGAUACUUUAAAUCACAUCAAUAAAGCGUACAAUAAGUUGUUGCGUGUGAACCGGCCUCAAAACCAAUGUUCAAUGUUUUCCAUUCGUCCAAUGUGUCAGGAACCUGGCCAACAAAAUAUUUUUAAUUAUUUAUAUAUUACCAAAAGAAAAUUCCAAAAAGGCUCCUAUAGAAAUUAAACAAUCUUUAGAAUCAGAGUUUGAAUAUAGUCCUAGCAAGAAUUUAG